rnacentral:rRNA from 1 species
UACAGAGGUCUCAAGCGUUGUUCGGAUUCAUUGGGCGUAAAGGGUGCGUAGGUGGCGCCAUAAGUCAGGUGUGAAAUCUCGGGGCUUAACUCCGAAACUGCAUUUGAUACUGUGGUGCUUGAGGACUGGAGAGGAGACUGGAAUUUACGGUGUAGCAGUGAAAUGCGUAGAGAUCGUAAGGAAGACCAGUGGCGAAGGCGGGUCUCUGGACAGUUCCUGACACUGAGGCACGAAGGCCCAGGGGGAGCAAACGGGG